rnacentral:tRNA from 1 species
GGGGCUGUAGCUCAGCUGGCAGAGCGCUUGCAUGGCAUGCAAGAGGCCAGGGGUUCAAAUCCCCUCAGCUCCACCG